AUAGUAUAAUAGCAACAUAAAUGUUUUGGUAAUAUCUAUCUUUGAAAGAGGAUGGAGGAUAUAUCACAUAAAAUUUGAGGAUUUGCUACUUUAAAUUUGGGGUGUUCAGUGAUCUGAAGCUUGUUUAUGUAUCUCCUUCAAAGUGAGAGUCUACGAGGAGUCUUUUGCAUCUUAUACUAAUAAGAAAAAGAUGUAAUAGUUUGUGGACUUAUUUGGAUUUUGGAUUAAUAUGUAACACAUGUGGAUAUGUGGCUCUGACAUGUUUAUCAAGCGAUUGCUCACAAAACUGUUUACAAAUAAUGGGGCCAGAGCAAGAGAAGGCAUUCCAGCAGACCUAGGCUGUAGUACAAGCUGUUCUCCCUGUUGGCUCUCAUGAAGCAAUUGAUUUAGUGGGGCUUGCGAUAUCUUUGGCAGAGUGAUAAUGCUGUAUAAAGCAAGAACAAGUCCAAAUGAGAGAACUAUGAUAGAGGUCACUAAGGUUCUAUUGCAAAGCCUAUCUUCUUCAGUUAAAUGUUCUUAAGUUGGUCUACGGCAGAGACUGCAAGCAGGUGACUGUAACCUGAACUCCUAAAAUGAACUGUUUCUAUCUUGUUCUACAGGUGUAAAGUCAAAUAUGCUGAAUGGCUCUCCAUCAACAAAUUAAAGAGGCAAAUAUAAAAUCCAGAUUUUUCAGAUUCUGAAAGCACAAGAAAGUUACCUGGAUCAGAGAAAACAGAUCCAGUUUUAUGGAGAGAAAAGGUAACUGUGAAAUGGUCUUCAUAUUCCCCAUGAAGAAUAUACAGCAAUGCUUGAUGGAGUCGAUGGUGGCUCGUACCACACUCCAGUCAGCUCUACAGCUUGUGGAAGAGUCUAAGCCUAAAGAUGUCUGGGGGACCUUCUUGGCGAAGAAAAAGCACUGCAUCUGGACUGAGGUAAAAAGUUGCAUGGCUCAUGUGACUUGUUUAUUCUUGGACCAUCUCUUAGCUUUCCUGUUUGUCUGGUAUCUUACACACACUCAAGAUUGGAUCUCCAAAUGCGCCCUGUGA
rnacentral:lncRNA from 1 species